rnacentral:rRNA from 1 species
UACGUAGGUGGCAAGCGUUGUCCGGAAUUAUUGGGCGUAAAGCGCGCGCAGGCGGCUUCCCAAGUCCCUCUUAAAAGUGCGGGGCUUAACCCCGUGAUGGGAAGGAAACUGGGAAGCUGGAGUAUCGGAGAGGAAAGUGGAAUUCCUAGUGUAGCGGUGAAAUGCGUAGAGAUUAGGAAGAACACCGGUGGCGAAGGCGACUUUCUGGACGAAAACUGACGCUGAGGCGCGAAAGCGUGGGGAGCAAACAGGAUUAGAAACCCGUGUAGGCUGACUGACU